rnacentral:rRNA from 1 species
GACGAACGCUGGCGGCAGGCCUAACACAUGCAAGUCGAGCGGAGCGGCGGACGGGUGAGUAAUGCCUAGGAAUCUGCCUGGUAGUGGGGGAUAACGUCCGGAAACGGGCGCUAAUACCGCAUACUAUCAGAUGAGCCUAGGUCGGAUUAGCUAGUUGGUGGGGUAAAGGCCUACCAAGGCGACGAUCCGUAACUGGUCUGAGAGGAUGAUCAGUCACACUAGAACUGAGACACGGUCCAGAAUCGUACGGGAGGCAGCAGUGGGGAAUAUUGGACAAUGGGCGAAAGCAUGAUCCAGCCAUGCCGCUUGUGUGAAGAAGGUCGUCGGAUUGUAAAGCACUUAAAGUUGGGAGGCGUUACCAACAGAAUAGGCAGCGGCGAACUUCGUGACAGCAGCCGCGGUAAUAC